CGCUGGUCCAAAGGUAGUGAAUUAUCUAUUGAUUGUUCACAGGUAGUUACAGAUGAAACUCCUUGUUCUACUCUUUCCCCCCUUCUCAUUACUGCACUUGAAUAAUCUAAA
rnacentral:Y_RNA from 1 species